AUUCUUGAAAGCUUCGGGGACGCCAUCGGCCUGCGGAUAAAUACCUCCAAGUCCGCGACACCGAUCCGCCGUGACGACAUCGACCUCAGCUCUGUGUUGCAGUAUUUUGGCGGCCCGGUCAUGAAGUUCCUGAUCAGAUACUUGGGGCUCCCUCUGACCGUGGGCCGGCUUCGCCUAGUCCACCUUCAGUUCAUCCUAGAUCGCGUCCGGGCUAGGCUAGUUGGUUGGAAGGGACGAAUGCUCUCCAAUGCUGGAUGACGAGUUCUCGUCCGCUGCGUGCUCACUGCCCUAUCCACGUUUGCUCUCACUGUACUUUGGGUCCCCAGGAAGCUGCUUAAGGAGAUCGAAAAGAGUAGGUGUCUUUUCCUCUAG
rnacentral:rRNA from 1 species